rnacentral:rRNA from 1 species
UACGUAGGGUGCAAGCGUUAAUCGGAAUUACUGGGCGUAAAGCGUGCGCAGGCGGCUUUGCAAGACAGAUGUGAAAUCCCCGGGCUUAACCUGGGAAUGGCAUUUGGGACUGCAAGGCUUGAGUGCGGCAGAGGAGACUGGAAUUCCUGGUGUAGCAGUGAAAUGCGUAGAUAUCAGGAGGAACACCGAUGGCGAAGGCAGGUCUCUGGGCUGACACUGACGCUCAUGCACGAAAGCGUGGGGAGCAAACAGG